GACGAACGCUGGCGGCGUGCUUAACACAUGCAAGUCGAACGGAAAGGCCCCAGCUUGCUGGGGUUCUCGAGUGCCGAACGGGUGAGUAACACGUGUGUGAUCUGCCCUGCACUCUCGGAUAAGCCUGGGAAACUGGGUCUAAUACCGGAUAGGACAGUGCUUUAGGGUGUGCGGUGGAAAGAUUUUCGGUGCAGGAUGGGCCCGCGGCCUAUUCGCUGGUUGGUGGGGUAAUGGCUUACCAAGGCGGCGACGGGUCGCCGGCCGGAGAGGGUGUACGGCCACAUUGGGACUGAGAGACGGACCAGACUCCUACGGGAGGCAGUAGUGGGGAGUAUUGCACAAUGGGCGCACGUCUGAUGCAGAGACGCCGCGUGGGGGAUGCCGGCCUUCGGGUUGUAAACAGCUGUCGGCAGGGACGAAGCUGUUGUGGCGGUACCUGAAUAAGAAGCACCGGCUAACUACGUG
rnacentral:rRNA from 1 species